rnacentral:misc_RNA from 1 species
UGGUUCUGGCAUCGAUGAAGAACGCAGCGAAAUGCGAUAAGUAAUGUGAAUUGCAGAAUUCAGUGAAUCAUCGAAUCUUUGAACGCACAUUGCGCCCCUUGGUAUUCCGAGGGGCAUGCCUGUUCGAGCGUCAUUACAACCCUCAAGCACUGCUUGGUAUUGGGCUCCGCUGGUUUCAGCGGGCCUUAAAGUCAGUGGCAGCGCCGUCUGAGCUCUGAGCGUAGUAAAUCUCCUCGCUAUAGAGACCAGGUGGUCCCUCGCCAUCAACCCCCAACUUCCUAAGUUUGACCUCGGAUCAGGUAGGGAUACCCGCUGA